GGGCUCACGAAGCACCGAUUCGGAGGCGGGCGCGAGAGGCUCGUGCCACAUUUUCUUAUAGGCAAGGAGUGUGGCGGUUUGGUCAACGGUUAGAGCGAGCUAGUGGCUACCUCCUCCGGACGCUCUAGCGCGCGGACGGCCUCCUCGAGGAGAGCCGCCGCGAGCGGGCGUGGAGGGGCGCGCUGCGGACGGCGCGUCGGCGGUAGAGGGGCCGGAAGGCGCGGCGCCGGCUGAGGCUGCGGCAGACCCGGCCGAAGGACGGGGGGCCGCCGGAGGGCGGCGAGCGGCUGCCCCUCGACCGACGGGGGCGGGGCGGGAGGAGGUUCUUCCUCGAGAAGGAGGCGGAGAGGCGGCCGGGGCGGGAGGAGGUCCUGUUCGAGCACUCGCACACCCACCUGUCCCUCUGGCCGCGGUUCACGAUGUACGACAGGCGGUCCUUGGAGAAGUAGCACACCCCCUUGUGCGGGCUCAUGACCUGGACCUAGGGUGAGGUUCUGAGGUCCAAGAGGCUUCCACGAGUUGAGUCCGUACAAACGACCGAGCUCUAGGCACCCUUCUAUGUGUCGUUGGACGAAAGGGACCUGUGUUGGAUAUGGCGGAUGUACCAGAAGUUCUUUUGACUACUAAAGAUACCCGACCGUAAAGGCCAGGUCCUCCGUAGCCAGUCGCAACCUCGUUGGUUGAAUUGGGCGUUCCAAACGGAGGUUGUAUUGUUACUACUACUGCUGCCGCUGCCGCUGUUACUACUGCUACUGCUGAUGCUACUGACACCCUACGGGCUCUUGAUGACCAGGUACUCUUCCUUACCGGAUGUGUUUCUUUUACAGCGUGAGGGAGUCGUUUCCUGGCUGCCUACCUACCUCGACCUCGACCCGCUCAAGAAGUUGCUCCCCCCACUUCUGCCGCUCCACAGGUAGUCGGACUGCCUCCGGUUUCCACCCUUGACCUUCUCGCCGGAGUAGCACGUCCCGUAACUCUAGUCUGCAUUCUUUAGUCCGACUCACUCCUCGAGGAUCAUCCUAAUUUGAACGGGCCCAGUUUCAUUUACUUGUUUCUUUCGUAUAGCAGACAUCAGUAGCCGCCGCGGUCCCCAUAAGUGCACAUAAGUAUACUUAUGGGUUCUAAACCGGGUUUUUUUAAUUAUGUACAGAAUAAAUCGUCGGGUGUCGGGUGUCUCCUAUGGCCGAUGCGAGUAGGCAAGUGAGCUAGGUCGGGGGUGAGCCAGCAAGGGGUUCAGGGGUUGGAUUGGAUCGCUGACGCCGGUCGCCGCCGCCGCCGCCGCUCAUCGCCGGUCGCGGGUCGCCGCCGUUGCCGCCGCUCAUCGCCAGUUGCCGCCGCCGGUCAUGACUGACGUCCGUCGCCGUUCGUCUCGGCGACUUGCCCGCUGGUCGCCGUCCGGCCGUCGACUGGUCCACCUAAACGUCACGUCAAUUUAACCUGUUUAACGACGAUCACAACCUAAACUUACGUUGCUCGAUGACGGAUUCUACUUCUUCUUCCCACAAUCAUAACAACGUAACACCCUUACUCGAUACACUUCUUAUUCGAUUUGUUUUACCCACUACUUAUAGACUUGUUAACAAACCAAUGUAAACAACUCUCUCUGAAAAAGCUAGUUCACUUCCUACUUCUACAGUAGUUAGACAAGGUUUUUCCGCUAGCGUUUCAAUAUAACAUUCUUCCUAUAGUAGCGUUUGUAUCAACUUCGCGUGGCC
rnacentral:rRNA from 1 species